GUGUGACUGAGCAAGACACUGUGCUUCAACAUGAGCUGGGUCAAGUACAGAAGACAAAAACAGUCUGCAGUUGUAACCAAGCCGGUGAAAACAGUCAUGCAGAGGACCCCGAUAUUAGAGAACCAGGGUGACUUCAGCAGCAAAUCUUUAUUGAUAAGACUUGCAUUGGCAUGGAGGACUUGAAGCUGGUAAUAGCUGCAUGAUUUCAUUAAUCAUGUGAGAGGUGACUUGAGCUUGCCCACACUGUUUAUGCUUAGCCUGAACCUUCAGUCUACAAGCAGCUUGCCUGAGGACUAGAACCUUUAUUUCUUGAAGUCAUGGGUCUGCUGUCCUGAUGCAGGUACAGGCAGGUGCUGAAGAUCAAUUUCAGAGAGUCCCCGAGGCUCUGCCUGGAAUCAAGAAGAGGCCCGAGGUCAUGGACACUUCCCAGUCAUGUGCCUACAAUGCUGCCUGUACCUCUGUGCUGGGCACUGCUGUGUUAUAUCCUCAAAAUGUGGAAUCCCAGCCCCAUGACACAUUACAAGAGUUUGGAUAAGAAAGCUGAUGCAGGAAGAAUGGAGUGAAAGCUGAGGCAAGGGACUGAGACAGUUUCCUCUCUACAGUUAGAUGGAAAACCAGAACAGGAUGUCAUGAACCCUGGGAGCACAGCACAGGGUGGUCGUUUCUGGGAUCACACAGCUUAGAGGGAGCUUGGGGUCACUCUACAUUCUACAUCUAGUACCAGGAAAUGAAAUUCAGUUUUCCUGCUAACUUGGAAGAACACAAAAGAACUUAAUUUAAACCAUGUCUAUCCAAUGUUUAUUUCUUUCAUAUCAUCAUAAAGUGGGCCAUUUAGAGGAGAAACUUAGAAACUUAGAAUUUUAGAAAGUUCUCUAUUUUUUCCUGGAAAUAGCCAUGCAGAAGUCACAGACACAAGCAAAUGACUGUGGAAGUCCCAAUAAAACUUUAUUGGAGAAGAAAUGCAAGAGCUCAGAGCCACUUUAAAGAAGAAUGACACUUGUCUUUGGUCAUCAAUGAAUC